GAUGAACGCUGGCGGCGUGCCUAAUACAUGCAAGUCGAGCGAACAGACGAGGAGCUUGCUCCUUUGACGUUAGCGGCGGACGGGUGAGUAACACGUGGGUAACCUACCUAUAAGACUGGGAUAACUUCGGGAAACCGGAGCUAAUACCGGAUAAUAUUUCGAACCGCAUGGUUCGAUAGUGAAAGAUGGCUUUGCUAUCACUUAUAGAUGGACCUGCGCCGUAUUAGCUAGUUGGUAAGGUAACGGCGUACCAAGGCAACGAUACGUAGCCGAACUGAGAGGGUGAUCGGCCACACUGGAACGGAGACACGGUCCAGACUCCUACGGGAGGCAGCAGUAGGGAAUCUUCCGCAAUGGGCGAAAGCCUGACGGAGCAACGCCGCGUGAGUGAUGAAGGUCUUCGGAUCGUAAAACUCUGUUAUUAGGGAAGAACAAACGUGUAAGUAACUGUGCACGUCUUGACGGUACCUAAUCAGAAAGCCACGGCUAACUACGUG
rnacentral:rRNA from 1 species